UGUAACUAGUUUUUGACGCGGGCUAAAAGUGAUAAUACCCCUUUAUUUUUUUAUUUUUAACAGACUCGUCCCCUCAUCUAGUCCUUUGGGGUGAAGUACACAAAUAACUUUUAAUGUGGAUGGUCUUGAAUUUUUGUCUCUGCUUGCUUCAUGGGCAUAACUUCAAUUUUAACAAUUGUUACCCCUUGCUUACUCUAUGGUCAAUAUUUUUAAUUUUUUACCUUAAAAUUUUGCCCAUUUGGCAAUUGGGGGUUAAAAAUUAAAAGACCACCCCAAAAAUAUCAUAUUUCUACAAAUGUUUUGAGUCCUUUCAGAUCACAGGUUAAUUUUUGAAAACUGAUCAACUUCUAAAUAUAAGGCCAAACUUUGGCUAUUUGAUGAAAGUGCUCCUUAAAAAGAGGAUUGGACCAGAACCAGAACCAGAACCAGAACCAGAACCAGUUCGCUGGUCACUUGUUAGGUCCAUGCAAGAUUUUUUGAGGACUCCGGAUGAACACCGAAAACUUCUUGUGAUAAAAAUAUUGGAAAUGUACGUCGAGGCUGAAGACGCUUGUAAUAAUGAGGUUCCGCAAAAUAGGGAUAUCUCUCAAUCAUCGGGUGAUUUUUUUGGGAGAAGUUUUAUCCAAACAAGUUCCGGGUGAAAGAGUUUGGACAGAUCUAAACUUAUCUCCACAGGCGAAUGAGGAGCGAUGACAUAAUUUAUCCUCAAGUUUACAUAAUCCAUAAGACAAGAGAGGGUACCGGCCAGAUAUGAAUUUUACAAGUUAUGAACCA